AACACCUGCGCUGGCUGGUCCAGUAACCACUAACACGUGUGGACAUGUGCUGUUGCAGCUGGGAGCUGGGUGUUUAUAUAAUCUAGAUUUAAAUAGCCCUAUGUCGUCGCUGUCCUGGCUAGCGCAGAUCUACAGCCUCCGGGUAACAGGGGUGUGGACUCUGGGAAGGAGAAGCAGGAGGCAGCCGAAGAGCAGGUGCCCAAGCAGCAGCUGCUGCUUUCACCUUUGCCCUGAGCUCCAGUGCGGCCCAGCCCUGCCCAGCGGUAAUGACUCUGGCCUUUGGACUCUCCACUGCACUGAAGAGGAAGCCUGACGUCCUGGGCACACGCAUGGGGCACAUGUUCCCAAUGAAGGUGGUAAGAGCUUACACCCUCUAGGAAACUUUCCUGGACCGACUCCAUCAGAUGUGGAUAUUGCCUCCUCCAUGAGUCCUUUGGAAGAGGUUUCCUGAGAAGGGCCCGUUUCUCCUCCGUGUGUGCUUCCCUUCAACUGCCAGAAAAGAUUUCUACCCUCACAGGAGAGUAAUGAUCCGUAGUCUCACUUCUUGGGACUAAAUAAUCGCUUUCACAGGAGCAGCUACGUUUCAGUGGCAUCAAAUCAAGCAUCUGGAAAGCUCUCAAGAAUGAAGAGGGAUGGAUGGACAUAGGCAACAGGAAUCCUCAGCGGAGUCCUUACAGGUGUUUCUAAAAUUGCUAUGGUUCAGGAACUUAAAGUUGAUUUUUUGUUUCAUCUUGCACCAAUCCUCAAUUAAUCGAAGCAGAAACAGCUCUACUGGCUGCCAAUCCUUGGAAGGUAGGAGUCUGGGUUGAGGACCAGACUAAAGCUGACAAGCUCAGGGGAGGCCUGCAUGGUGGCCUUACAAACUCAGAGACCGAAAGCAACCACAGGUGACCUGAAUUAAAACUUCCUAAUAAAAGCGAGUCAUGGUGGGCAGUCAUGUCGAGGCCGGCAUCUUCUCUGACAAAGGUCAGUCUGUACCUUCACUGAGCCUGUCUAUUGUCUUUCUGCAUCUAGGUAACAUACCUUGGGAAUGUCAGGCUAAUUUCCUUUUUCCAGACCCCUCAGGGCACAAACACUGCAGCAGAGCAUAAACCACAAAACCCCUCACUGUUACUCGUGUUAAUUGUUAACUGUUCAUUAUCUAUACCCGCCAAGUAAAAGAAGUAUGUGUCUAUUCAUUUUACUUGUUAUCUAAUCCCCAAGAUUCCCCCAUUUUGCUUCCCUAAUCUAUCAACAAUGGAUUUCAUGUAACCUCCUUUGAUUCUGAUGUAUAAAAUAAAUGGUAAAACUGCCAUUUUCCAGAGCAUCUUCUCAAUCCGUUGAGAGUUUGCCUCCCGGUAAUUGUCAUCAGUUUGGCUCAAAUAAACUCAUAA